rnacentral:sRNA from 1 species
CUCAAUUUCAGAUAUCUUCUUCUCGAUUUGAUGUUUUUUUUUUCCUUCUUCUUCUUCCUCCAG